ACCCCCGUUGGGGCUUUACUCAAACCACACUGGUUUUCUCUACAUGGCUCCUUGGAAACUUGCAGACCAAAUACGGUUAAGGAGAAAUGGCCACCAGAGAUCACGAGGCUGAGAAACCCUCAUCUCUGACCUUAGGACCCCAGAGAAUAGUCUGGAAGCUCCGUGGCACUGGCAGGAAGGUGACUACUGCUAACUCCAUUUUCCAAAUGAAUAACAGAGCCACUGAGGAGUUGAGUGACCAUGAAAGAGGUGAGUCUGGAAUAUUCCUUUCUUGACUGUAUUGGUGUCUAGGGUAUAUUGGCUUUAGACAUGAGUUAGAAGAUGUUACUUUAAAGUGCAUUUGUUGGAAGUCUGUGUAAGAUUGCUAUCAUUUCUACCUUACAUGAAACCAUCUGUGCUUGAAAAAAAUAAUGCUUAUUUUUUUUUUACAAUACAUAGGACUAUCUAGAUUUUCUAUUUCAUCUUCCGUCAGUUCAUGUUAGUUGAAUUGUU